AACACCCAAUCCUAACUUGCUGUCUCCCAUAGCUGGCUGCCUUCCUGCUGCCAUUGUCUUACCAGCCCCAGGCAGCCUGUAUGCUUUUUAAAGAUUGGGCCCCACACACAGCUCAUCCACUCUAAUCACUACCCUAUCCAAUCAGAAGCUGCAUUGCUCUCAUUUCAAAGGACCCCUUGCUAGGAAGCAGGGGCUGACACACCUAACUUGAUGGCAAGUUCCCAGCACAGAAAGUGCUUCUCUUUUGCCCCCCCCGCCCCAAAAGUUGAUCAAUAAUACAAUAGAAGUGCCCCAGAGAUACUAUCCAGCAGCUUAACUUCCUUAAUCUCCCAGCUGUCUUUGUCUCACCAGCCACUUGUCUAGCAGUGCAGAAACUAGGGGCCUGGACUAUUAGAUAAGUUAAGGCUAAUAUAAAAAUAAGUAGAAACAAAUGUUUACAGUACACAAGUUUCAUAAAAUCGCAGAUCAAUCUCUGUUCCUCUAUAUAUUGUGGGUCUGAUCAUGGAAGUUCCUGAGCACUUCCUGCAAGUGCUGAAGUCCCUCCACUCCCACUGAUUUCAUCUGGGCAUUGAAUGGGCUCAGCACAUUUUAGGAUUGGGCCCUGUAGAAGUAAUGGAUACCUAGGUAACUUAUUUCAGAGAGGUAGCCAUGUUGGUCUGUAUCAGCAAAAACAACGAGGAGUCCUUGUGGCACCUUAGAGACUAACAAAUUUAUUUGGGCAUGAACUUUCGUGACCUUAUGCCCAAAUAAAUUUGUUAGUCUCUAAGGUGCCACAAGGACUGCUUGUUGUUUUUUCUAGGUAACUUAGUGUUACCAAGUACACCAGGACAAAAAUGUCUCAUUGUUAUUCUGGUGUACAGCUUUGCCCUUGGAAGUUCCUUCUUAGGAAGUGUUGAUUUCCACUCUGUAAUUUCAGAUGGACUGAGGCAAGAGCUAGGGAGUCUGUAAGGCCAGGGAGAAGGAAGUUUUAGUGAUCUAUACAGGAGGUGAGCAGGGGUUGGAUGACUACAGUCUUAGAUAGUCUGUAAUGGCAGUCAGACAGGUCAGUGAUUGCCUGUCAGAAUAGGUGGAACUAAAGCCUAUUGCACUAUUUGUGGUGCACACCUGACAACAUUUUCCGGCUUCCCCCAGAGUUAAUCUUGAAGGGUUUAUAAAAUGCACCAGUUCCAAGUGUUCCUUUUUUUAGUUAAGGAUCUUCUCCAGGUUCCCCACCAGGACUUGUCAGCUCUUCCAGCACUAAUCAUCUUGCUCUGAGGGUGGCUAUUGGUCUUUUGGAGUCUUGCUGCAAUUAACUAGCUGAGUACAAAUGCUUGCCACAAAAGUCUGAAGCUGAAAUCACUUGAGGCCCUCUGUACCACUUAAAUCCCAUAUUGGGGACAGAGGGAGAGGCUCCAGUAGAAUGAAUUCAUAGAGGAUGCCUUCUGUGUGUUGUAGGAGUUAUUGCAUAGCUCUCUAGUGUGUUUGGGGGGAACACAGCAAGAGGAAUAUGUUGGCAGACCAUCAAUCCUAUCACAUGGAUCCAGUGGCCCUAAUAUCCUGUGCACAUGACUGAUGAAUCCUGCUAAUCUGUGCACUGAGCUGAGUUGAGAGUUUUCUUGGAGCACCACAGUGUCAAGUAAUCUACUGUAAUGACAAGAAUGGUCACCUAGAAGUAGACCCUAUGCAGUGCCAACGAUCUACAGGAUGGGGUACAUAAGCUGAGAGAGUUGAAACAGACCAAUUGUCCCCAUCCUUGCAUGAAUCCUUAAGCAUAGCCACUGAAAGAAGGAACUGAGACACAGCAAUAACUGGUAUUUGUUUCACAUUUAAUUGAAGGAGACCAGUCUAUAGACCUGUAUUAUAUCUUAAAUUUUUGUUAAUCCUUUUUCUAUCCAAAUUGUCUUAAGCAUGGAGUUAGCCUUGAUCCUGAGGCACAGAUUAUCCCGUAGUGGUAUGAGAAGAGAAUUUGUAAGACUUGAUGCUGUAAUAAUCUGAAUGCAUUGCAGAAUGCCCCAUGUAGAUGCAAAGACUGAGUAGCAUCUUAAGGUAUACACAAGAAGAGAGGGAACCAAAUGGCAUAGCUAAUUUUUCAAUCUCAAACCAGGCCGGUGUGUAUAUAGAGCCACUGGAAGGAACCCCCUUACAACAGGACACGUUUGGAAUGCUAGAUAAUAUUGAUACAGAUCUGGCAACCCCAUGUAACGUCCAGUUGUCCAAGAUUUUUUAAUGGCCUUGUGUGACAAGCAAGGCUGUUUUUUUAAUCUUAUAUAAAUGUCAUGAUACGCCUAUUUAUUCGAGCAAAGAAUGAGGGAAGAUACUUUGAAAGGCAAUAGCUUAAUGAUAUAAGUCAAUCUUGGGCCGAUACACAUUUUGGCUAUUUCUGUUCUCCCCAGUAAGAACAGAGGGAAGAGACACCAUCUCUCUACAUCCUUGGAAAUUUCUUGUAAUAUAUUAUUUGUAAUAUCUGUUAUUUAUAGAAACAAUUUUGGGAAGAUUAGGACAAAUGUUAACACCUAACUAAGUUAUUUCCUUGCAUAAUUGAAAUGGAAAAUGCUGAAACUGAGAAGGAUUUGGUCUUUUGGAUAUAUUCAUUGCUUGUGAUUUAUUCCAGUUAAUGCGAAAACCACAAAUCUUUCCAAAAAAUAUCAACCACAUUUAAUAAUAAUGGGAUUGAUGAGGAUGGAUUCUUCAAUAGUAUAAAAAUGUCAGCAUACAAACUGAUUUUGUGUUCUUUCCUGUUUAUAGUCAUAACAUCAGUGGCUGAGUGCUGACAUAUUUACAUUGCCUGUGGUUCAAGAGAGAGAUUAAAAAAGAGGGGCGAGAGGGGACAGUCCGGUCAUGUCCCUCUUCCUAAUUGAAAUUGGUAGAAAUAUUUCCAUUAAUUGAUAAUGAAGCAAGGGGAGAGAUGUAGAAUACACUGACCCAAUUCAGGAAUAUUGGUCCAAAUCCAUUUUUUAAGGACAGCCAUUAGAUGAGGCCAUUCAACCCUAUCAAAGGCCUUUUCUGCAUUUAGAGAUAAGGCUAGCGAGGGAACAUCUGAACUUGCUGGAUCAAGUGAAUGAUUUUUCUCGUGUUAUCAGAAGCCAAUCUUCCUUUAACAAAACCAGCCUGAUCUGCAUGUAUAAAUUGAUGGGAUGAUGGCAUUCAGUUGUGCCUCUAAAAUGUUUGCAAUUAUUUUGCAAUCUGUAUUCAACAGAGAUAUGGGGUGGAAAGCCACAGUUACAACCAUUUUUGUUCUUUAAUUUUAAAGUAAUUAAAACAGUUCUCAUGUCUGGAAACAUGGUUCCUUUUUGGAAUGUUUAAUUGAAGAUCUUUGGAAAAACAGAAGAUGGCUGAUUACAAAACGUUUUGUAGAAAUCUGGAAAGCCAUCCAUCCCAGAGGCCUUACUUGAAUUCAUAUUUUUAUAGCCUAUUCAGUUUCUUGUGUUGUGAAGUCCCUAAACAACACUCGUUCUGAAGUUAGGGUAUUAAAAGCUAGGCCUUCAAUGAAAUGUAUUAGUCAUAUUGAUUGAUUUAUAUAAAGGUUGAUAGAAUUGCUUAAAUUGAUUAUAUAUAUUGGUUCAAGGAUGGCACUCCUGUCUUCGUGUAACAAGGAAAAAGUAUUAUUGUUGCCUAGUUCCAUAUUAAGUCUUCUGGCAAGCAGUUUACCUGCCUUAUCUCUCCAUUCAUAAUGUCUUCGUUUGACCCUCUUGAGCGUAAAUUUGACUUGGCUGGAUAAGCAUUCACUAUAUUUAUAUUUGGCAUUGAUUAGAGAACGUUGAAGGUUUUCAUUAUUUGGGUCAGUCUUGUGUGUUCUCUGCACACAUCUAUUUCCUUGUCCAGAGAAUCUAGUAACUUGAGUCUCUCUUCUUUUGGGAGGCAUACUUUAUGCAUUCAUGCCUUACAGUAGCUUCCACAGCUUCCCAAAAGAUAACUGAGUGCUUAUUUUCUUGUAUGAAAGUAGAGAUGAUUGAAUCAACUGCAGAACAAAAUUUUGCCUUUUAGUAGCACACUGUUCAGGUUCUGUCCGGAAGAUUUUAAUGAUGUGUAACCAGUGUCAUUGGUAAGUAUAAUUGAAACAUGACCUCAAAUUAAUAUAUUAUCAGCAGUUUCUUCUAGUCAUGGUAGAAUCAGUUCUAAAGAUACAAGAAAAAAGUCAAUUCUGGAGUAAGAUGAAUGUACUGUAGAGAAAUAUAUACACUCAUACUCUUUGGGGUGUCCCAGUCUCCAUAUAUAUUUUAAAUCAAGUUAAUUCAUUAACAAUUAGGGUUGGCCUACUGUGCUCUGAAAGUUGGGUUUCAUGCAAUUGGAUUUGUCCAGAUGUCUAUCUAGCACAGCAUUCCAAUCUCCUCCCAGUAUUACAGGAAUGCCUUUUAUUAGAAAUGGGUCUUACAAACUCUUAUGGAGCUUGCUAAAUCCAUAGUGAAGGUGGAUUGAUACUUGAUGCUAUAUCUGCCUUUGGUCCCCUCAGGAUUUGCUUUAUGCCAUUGAAUGCAGCUCUCUUUUUGUUAAGCUCAGAUGAGAUGUCAAGAAAAAAAGAAAUUGUGUGUCUGCGUAAGGGUUUUGGCUUCUGGCAGUAUUCAUUAACAUUACUUUACCAUUGAAUUUCCGCAGCUUGAAGAUGAUGGAUCUGGGCUUAUCAGACUCCUGCCUUGUAGUACCAGCAUUCAGUGAGCCCUUUUGAUAUCUAAUGGGGGCAGCUGGUGAUCCAAUUUAAGUAUGUCAGGGCACAGCUUCUGAAGAAAGUAAUAUCCUUCUUCUCUAGGCCCUCAGUAAUGCCCAAGACGUGAAGGUUGUUUCUUUGAGAUCUAUUUUCCUACUGUAAGCUUAAGGAAACAGUUUCUUCUUUAAUUUCACUGUUUUUAAUGGCCAUCUUUUGUAGCUCAUUUUCUAACUAAGUCAUUUCAGCUUGUACAUCACAUUGCUCUUUAGAGAUUGAAUCCAGUCUUUCUGCAAGGAAGUCUUUCAGUGCUGCGAUAUCCUGGCCUAGGUUCUGCUGUGGCCUUGUGGUCUCCCCCUCCAGCUGCUUAGGUCUUUCGUUGCCUCUCAUUUUUUCAUUGGAAUCCAUAUUCAACAAUUUGAAGUUUAUCCAGGGAAUUAAUUUAAACUUUUAUAACAGGAACUUAUUGCCAAUUUCCUAGGAAAGUAAUUAUCAGAGAUGAGUAGUUGAUAUAUGGGGCGUGAGGAGGUCCGGGACUAAGCAGCUAUCUUCCUCACAGGUACCAGGUGACCCUACCCUGCACAUUUUAAGGGUCCUGCAUUAGCUUGUCUGGUCUCAGAAUCCCAGUCUCAAUGGAUCAUUACACAAAUAUCACCCGAUAACAAACACUGAUCUGGAAUUUUGCUUCUUUUAAAACUGCAUAAAUGUCCUAAUUAAAAGUUUCUUCCUUCUACCGCUAUAUGUGCAUACACAUCCCCACUUCUUGCUUACAGCCAAAGCACCAAGAUACUAUGCGAAAUGCUGUUCUUGCUGCAUUUCCAACCCCUAUAGCAACAUUUUCUCUGCAGUUUAUCCGAGUUGGGAGGAGAGGAGAAGAUGGUUUCUCAGCAUUGUGUUAUUUUGCUGCUGGACUACUACUUAAGAUUUUUUUUUAAGUAUCAGUCAGCUAACCAAAGUUAUUUCCUAUUUAAAGAUCAUGGAAGAGUUAAAACCAGCUAUGAAUAAAAUGAAAGGAAUUCAGUCUAAAAUACACUAGGAAUCACUGGCAAACUCAGUCCCUCCUUCUGGAAGCAGAAUGAAAGGAGAAACCAGAAAAGCAGGUUUCUUUGUUCUAAAUCCCACCUGAUUUUCCUGCCUAUUGACACACCUCUGAUUAGAUCAGUCUACAGAGAGAGAUAUUUUUAUAAAAGUGUCUCAGUGCUUGUUGACACUGGGCUCAUUUCUCUUUAAAAACUCUGUGUCAUUGUCAUGUAAUCCUGCUCUGAACAGGGUUAGAUAACAUGGUGUUUAAGGUACUGGUGGGCACCUAGAGCAUUGUUCAGCCUUGUUCAGGCUCUAGGGCUCAGACUGGUGCACAGUUGAUAGCAUUGGUGGAAAAUUCUUGACCCCCCCCCCCCCCC